rnacentral:rRNA from 1 species
UCCAGACUCCUACGGGAGGCAGCAGUGAGGAAUAUUGGUCAAUGGCCGGGAGGCUGAACCAGCCAAGUCGCGUGAGGGAAGACGGCCCUACGGGUUGUAAACCUCUUUUGUCAGGGAGCAAGGUGCAGGUCGGGACCUGCUGUGAGAGUACCUGAAGAAAAAGCAUCGGCUAACUCCGUGCCAGCAGCCGCGGUAAUACGGGGGGUGCAAGCGUUGUCCGGAAUCAUUGGGCGUAAAGCGUUCGUAGGCGGUAUGUCAAGUCUGAUGUUAAAGCCCGGGGCUCAACUCCGGUUCGGCAUUGGAUACUGGCAAACUAGAAUGUGGUAGAGGUAAAGGGAAUUCCUGGUGUAGCGGUGAAAUGCGUAGAUAUCAGGAGGAAUACCGUUAGCGAAGGCGGCAAUCUGGCUGGAAACUGACGCUGAGGUGCGAAAGCGUGGGUAGCAAACAGGAUUAGAUACCCUUGUAA